GACGAACGCUGGCGGCGUGCCUAAUACAUGCCAGUUGAGCGCUGAAGGUUGGUACUUGUACCAACUGGAUGAGCAGCGAACGGGUGAGUAACGCGUGGGGAAUCUGCCUUUGAGCGGGGGACAACAUUUGGAAACGAAUGCUAAUACCGCAUAAAAACUUUAAACACAAGUUUUAAGUUUGAAAGAUGCAAUUGCAUCACUCAAAGAUGAUCCCGCGUUGUAUUAGCUAGUUGGUGAGGUAAAGGCUCACCAAGGCGAUGAUACAUAGCCGACCUGAGAGGGUGAUCGGCCACAUUGGGACUGAGACACGGCCCAAACUCCUUCGGGAGGCAGCAGUAGGGGAUCUUCCGCAAUGGGCGAAAGUCUGACCGGGCAACGCCGCGGGAGUGGAGAAGGGUUUCGGAUCGUAAAACUCUGUUUGUAGGGAAGAACGUUGGUGAGAGUGGAAAGCUCAUCAAGUGACGGUAACUACCCAGAAAGGGACGGCUAACUACGUG
rnacentral:rRNA from 1 species